rnacentral:rRNA from 1 species
GAUGAACGCUGGCGGCGUGCCUAAUACAUGCAAGUCGAGCGAACAGACGAGGCGCUUGCUCCUCUGACGUUAGCGGCGGACGGGUGAGUAACACGUGGAUAACCUACCUAUAAGACUGGGAUCACUUCGGGAAACCGGAGCUAAUACCGGAUAAUAUAUUGAACCGCAUGGUUCAAUAGUGAAAGACGGUUUUGCUGUCACUUAUCGAUGGAUCCUGGCCGCAUUAGCUAGUUGGUACGGUAACGGCUUACCAAGGCAACGAUGCGUAGCCGACCUGAGAGGGGGAUCGGCCACACUGGAACGUGGACACGGUCCAGGCUCCUACGGGAGGCAGCAGUAGGGAACGUUCGGCAAUGGGGGGAAGCCUGACGGAGCAACGCCGCGUGAGUGAUGAAGGUCUUCGGAGCGGAAAACUCGGUUAUGAGUGAAGAACAAAUGUGUAAGGAACUAUGCACGGCUUGACGGUACCUAAUCAGAAAGCCACGGCUAACUACGUG